GACGAACGCUGGCGGCGCGCUUAACACGUGCAAGUCGAGCGAUGAAAUCUUAACAGAACCCUUCGGGGCGAAGAUAAGACGGAUUAGCGGCGGACGGGUGAGUAACACGUGAGUAACCUGCCUUUUACACAGGGAUAGCCUCGGGAAACCGGGAUUAAAACCUGAUGAAACUAUCAAAUCACAUGAUUAAGAAAGUUAAAACUCCGGUGGUAAAAGAUGGACUCGCGUCCCAUUAGCUAGUUGGUGAAGGUAACGGCCCACCAAGGCAACGAUGGGUAGCCGGCCUGAGAGGGUGAACGGCCACAUUGGAACUGAGAAACGGUCCAAACUCCUACGGGAGGCAGCAGUGGGGAAUAUUGCACAAUGGGGGAAACCCUGAUGCAGCGACGCCGCGUGAGCGAAGAAGGCCUUCGGGUCGUAAAGCUCUUUUAUAUGGGAAGAUAAUGAC
rnacentral:rRNA from 1 species